CAACCCUCAAGCCCCCAGUGGCUUGGUGUUGGGGACCGGCGCGCGCCGCCCCCGAAAUGAAUUGGCGGUCUCGUCGCGGCCUCCUCUGCGUAGUAGCACAAAACCUCGCAACAGGAGCGCGGCGCGGCCACUGCCGUAAAACGCCCAAACUUUUUCAAG
rnacentral:misc_RNA from 1 species